UUUUAGCCAUUAAAUGUAAAUGGUAAUGCUAGUUUGGAUUUCUUAAAUUUAAUUAAUCUUUGACGUCUCUGUCUGAAUUUACAGGCAAUCUGGCAUUUAAGUUUACUUGGCCAAAUGUGAUGACGUGGGAAACUGCUGUCCAUUUUGUCGAAAUGUCGGCCAUUGUUAGCUGUACGUCUCAUCUCGUGCAGAAACACUUCACAGAGCUAUUGAUUUUCAGGUCGGAAAUGGAGAUCCCUUUGCUCAACUGUUGCAGAAAUUUAGAACACGACAAAGUCUGAGCUUCAUGGCUGUAGUAUCAUUAAUGUGGUUUUGUUGCAGCCAGUUGGUGAAAGGUGUGAUCGAGUCAUGGUUGAGUUGCAGUUCAUGCAGUUUAUCGAGUUGGUGCUAUCCAGGGUGUAACUGCAGGAAAACUUCUUGAAUUGUCUAAUGUGCGCAUGGAUUGGUUGCAGUCAUCCAGUGAAAGGUGUGAUUAAAUUGAGCUGUUGCAUGCAGUCUUUGGUGGUGAUGUUGUCCUGGAGUUUGGGAGAGUCCCAUGCUUUAAGUCUUCUGGGAUCAGUAUCUGAGUUGACGCUGGAUCAUGCUGCAUUGUGGUUGCCGAAAUGUUGGACAUCUAGUAGAACUGAAAAAAACUCCUUGAAAUGGUUUGUGUUUACGUAGCAGUGAUGUUGCUGUCCAAUAUGGCAUGUUGUUGCAGCCUAUACUGGUGAAAGAUUUUUUGCGUCGAAUUAUGCUGUUGCUGUUCCUUGGUGCCGGACUGCUGGUGUUGUGCACAAAAGUUACAUCCAGUUUUAAUUGUUAUUUGUGUCUAUGCAGUUAACCGUUUAUAUGUGGAAAAGGAACAGAAAAGUUCCUUGGUUUUGAAUCGGUGGUGUUGUGCUUCAUAAGUUACAUCCAGUAUUUGGUUUAAUUGAAAUUUGCGUCUAUGAAGUUUACCGUUUAUAUGUUGAGAAUGAAACAAAUAGUAAUACGGGGAAUUUUUACGUUGAACAAAUAAUAAACAUGCCUUCGUGAUUGGGAAACCAGCGAGGAGGAGAUUGG